rnacentral:rRNA from 1 species
CCUACGGGAGGCUGCAGUGAGGAAUAUUGGUCAAUGGGCGAGAGCCUGAACCAGCCAAGUCGCGUGAGGGAGUACUGCCCUAUGGGUUGUAAACCUCUUUUGUCGGGGAGCAAAAGCCGGACGUGUCCGGCUGUGAGAGUACCCGAAGAAAAAGCAUCGGCUAACUCCGUGCCAGCAGCCGCGGUAAUACGGAGGAUGCGAGCGUUAUCCGGAUUUAUUGGGUGUAAAGGGUGCGCAGGCGGAUUUUUAAGUCAGCGGUAAAAUCGUGGGGCGCAACCCCAUCCAGCCGUUGAAACUGGGGAUCUAGAGUGUGCGAGAGGUAUGCGGAAUGCGUGGUGUAGCGGUGAAAUGCAUAGAUAUCACGCAGAACCCCGAUUGCGAAGGCAGCAUACCGGUGCACAACUGACGCUCAGGCACGAAAGCGUGGGUAUCGAACAGGAUUAGAUACCCUUGUAGUC